GCUAGCAAUGUGCCACGACGGUUCAGCCGUUUUGGGCGGCGAGGUGGCUGCUGUCGGAUCCGAAUGGACCGCUGUAGUCGUCGUCGCUGUCCGAGACGCGGUGCACUCUUUCGUGGUACGCGUCAGCGUCGGUUCGCAGCGGGCGAUGAGGCCUUGCGGAAGGUAGCUCGGAGCUUGCUCUGAGUGUUAUAGACGCAGGUGCUGGGUCCGCUGCGGACCGAGGAGAGAGAGUAUCGUUGCAGCGCAUGCCGCAAGGCUAGCUACCUGCUGUCUGGCUCGCUUCACGGACUGAGGACUGCACGCAGUGCUCGGAUUGGCGGAGUGGUCAGGCGGUGGAGUGGUAUAAAUGCGCUUAGGACGCUGGCGUCCAAAUGGCCGUGCGCGACCCGUCUUGAAACACGGACCAAGGAGUCUAACAUGUGCGCGAGUCUUUGGGUGGAAAAACCCGUGGGCGCAAUGAAAGUGAAGGCCUCUCACGAGGCUGAGGUGAGAGCUGGUGCUGCGGUGCCAGUGCAUCAUCGACCGGUCUAGUCUUCUCCAAGACGGAUCCGAGUAAGAGCGUAUUUGUUGGGACCCGAAAGAUGGUGAACUAUGCCUGAAUAGGGUGAAGCCAGAGGAAACUCUGGUGGAGGCUGGUAGCGAUUCUGACGUGCAAAUCGAUCGUCAAAUUUGGGUAUAGGGGCGAAAGACUAAUCGAACCAUCUAGUAGCUGGUUCCCUCCGAAGUUUCCCUCAGGAUAGCUGGAACUCGUGACACAGUUUUAUCAGGUAAAGCGAAUGAUUAGAGGUCUUGGGGGUGAAACACCCUCAACCUAUUCUCAAACUUUAAAUAGGUAAGAAGCGUGACUUGCUUGAUUGAAGCCACGCGUUUCAAUGUGAGUUCCAAGUGGGCCAUUUUUGGUAAGCAGAACUGGCGAUGCGGGAUGAACCGAACGCUCGGUUAAGGUGCCUAAGUCGACGCUCAUCAGACCCCAGAAAAGGUGUUGGUUGAUAUAGACAGCAGGACGGUGGCCAUGGAAGUCGGAAUCCGCUAAGGAGUGUGUAACAACUCACCUGCCGAAUCAACUAGCCCUGAAAAUGGAUGGCGCUCAAGCGUCGCACCUAUACCGGGCCGUUGCUGUAAAUGCCAUGCGGCAACGAGUAGGAGGGCGCGGGGGUCGUGAAGCAGCCUUUGGCGUGAGCCUGGGUCAAACGGCCUCUGGUGCAGAUCUUGGUGGUAGUAGCAAAUAUUCAAAUGAGAGCUUUGAAGACCGAAGUGGAGAAAGGUUCCAUGUGAACAGCAGUUGGACAUGGGUUAGUCGACCCUAAGAGAUAGGGAAGCUCCGUUCUGAAGUGUGCGACUUCGCACCGCCUAUCGAAAGGGAAUCGGGUUAAUAUUCCCGAACCAGAACGCGGAUAUUGGCUUUCGGGCCAGGAGCGGCAACGCAACCGAACUGGGAGACGUUGGCGGGAGCUCCGGGAAGAGUUUUCUUUUCUUUUUAACGGGCCAUCACCCUGGAAUCGGUUUGCCCGGAGAUAGGGUUCGCUGGCUCGGUAAAGCAAAACACUUCUUGUUUUGUCCGGUGCGCUCCCGACGGCCCUUGAAAAUCCCAGGGAGUGAGUAAUUUUCGUGUCUGGUCGUACUCAUAACCGCAGCAGGUCUCCAAGGU
rnacentral:rRNA from 1 species